UACCUGGGAACGGAGGCUGGCUUUACGAAUCCGAAACCGCUGGCAAGGGUGGAUCGCGUGAAUUGUGCGUACGCGAGACACAAACGUUUGCAUGAGUGCCACGGCGGCAUCGCUGAUCCCUCUGUGCCUUUUGCUCAUCUCGACUCACAGCGCCCUGUCCUUUCCCUAAGUGACGAAAAGGGGGAACUUCAUGACGCCGUAGUGGGGUGUGAGGCCUUUGUCGCUUUCUUUCUCCGGUAGUGCGGCCAAAAUUCACGUAGAUGGCUGACAGCGGCGCGCGCGCCUUGCCUCCACAACUCCCGCGCGCCGUAGUCGCAGACAUCGACCCACGACUUGUCCUCGAGGAGUCGGCAGGCCGUCUGCUCGAGCGAGUCUUGACGGAGCUCAUCACCGCAACUGCGGCUUCUGGACCGGCUUCUUGCCAUACGCCCACGGAUGACAGCGAUGAGCCGGAGCGUGCGUGAUCAGGCGAACAGCCUGCAGCACUUUCAGCAGCACUCACGACUUUAUUUCAUUGGGCAGUGGAGGACGAAGAUGGAGGAUGUGUUUCGUGAGUGGUUCAUUGAGCACCCAGAGUGGAACCAUGGUACACUGGAGCAGCAGCGCACCUUUGUCCAUGUCGACAUGGACGCCUUCUUCUGCUCCGUGCAGCUGGCAAAGCCGGAGUACGCCCAUCUGAAGACGAAGCCGGUGGGUAUUGCUGCGGGCAAAUACAACAGCGACAUCUCCUCCUGCAACUACGUGGCGCGCUCGUACGGCAUUCACGCCGGGAUGUACGUGAACUCUGCGAAAGAGCGCUGCCCACAGCUGGUAACCCUCGGCUACGACCUCGAGGCAUGCGAGCGCGUCGCCAAGACUCUCUACCAAAUCAUCUUCGAUUUGUUUCCCACGGGUGUAAAAAUGUCAAUGGAGGUGUACAGUAUCGAUGAGGUGAUGCUGGCAGCUGACACCGCCGACUACGCUUUGCUACAGUCCUUCUGCGAGACCGUUCGCAGGGAGCUGUUCAGCGCAACAGGGUGCACGGCUUCAUGCGGAAUCGGGCCCAACAUUAUGCUGGCGCGCCUCGCCACAGACCGCGGCAAGCCGAACGGGAUUUGCGUUGUCCACGCCAAGGACGUGGCACAGACCAUGAACGCACUUCCGCUGGAGUGCAUUCACGGUGCGGGGGAGAGCACGAUGGAGAAAAUCUGCCGCGCGCUGCGUGAGCAGGGCAUCAUAGACGAGAGGACUGACGCGGGCGGCGUCACGUGCGGGUCUGCGCAAAAACUGAAGCGUGAGGCUUUGCAGAGGGUUCUUGGCAAGAGGCAGGGCGAGACAUUCUACCAUCUAGUCCAUGGCGAGGACGGCCGCGUCGUCACGCGCACGGGCGAUCCGGAGGACCAGCGGCAUCUAGGUAAGCGGAUUCCCAACGCUGUUGGUUGUUCCAUGAACUACGCGGUGCGUCCUGAGGGGGUGGACGACGUAUGGAAGAUUGCGCGUCAACUGCUGGACGAUGUGUGUACCAAGCUGCGGCGCACCGAUGCAGUUGCCCAGGGGCUUCGCGUCACCCUACUGGAACGGCAUCCGCUGCAUCCGAAGGAGACGCAAAAGUACAUGGGCCGCGGCAAAUGUGUGGAGGUGCAUUUGCCAAUCAAGCUUCCGCACGCGAUGGCGGCUGACGAGGUGGAGGCGAUGGAGCUGGAAAUCCGGAAGGUGGUCGCCCCGUUGUUGGUUGCGUCGCGGGCUAUAUCCGAUGCGGAGCGGGCGGCACAGCUGGGCCUCUCGUCAAGCGAGAUGGACCUCGUGAUUUGGACCGUCGCUAUCGCGUCUCUGCGUGAUAUCGUCGUCGCGGAUUUGCGUGGAAUGACGGUGCAGGCGACGGGCCUCCGGCAGAAGCAGCAGGCGCCUUUAACACGUCAGCGCAUCAGUGGGCAGCAGAUGACCCUUGCAACUGGCUUCUUCAACGCGAAGCGACCGCGCACACAGGACGGAGUGACAGUGGUGGAACCCACACCCGCGCAGCCUCCAUCUGACACUGUGCGUGAGCGACCUGCUGAUAGCAGUGUAGACGCCGCGACACUCUAUCUGUUGUACGCUCAGCCGUGGCCACGUCGUGAUGACGCUACAGCGGCGCAGUGGCGUCGCGGCUGCGAGAGUGCCUGCCGUCAACUCGACUACCCUGUUGUGAAGGCAUAUCUUCGCUGUGCCCUGGCGAAGCUAUCCGAGUGGCCCGAGCCGCAGGAGGCCGCAGAAACCUUCCAGCAGUUGCUCUCCUUCGCGAACACCCGUCUUCCGGCGCCGCUCAACUUCUUGUGAACUGGUGCUGUUCUUCGCGGAGGCCUUUGCUAUUCACGGCGCCACAAACGCGGCUCACACAAGUGUCCACGUACCCCCCGACUUGUCUGCCGCACGCCGCAAGGGACAGCGCCCGGUCUUGCCUCCUGCCUCCCACUCUCACCACUGAGUGUGGAACUUGCGAAAGCUGGAAAGGGCACGGGACGGGCCUGACCUGCAGUUUUCUGUCUUG
rnacentral:misc_RNA from 1 species